UCAGGUGGAUGUUGCAUGUGGGAGGAUUGGAGCUGCAUAUUUCAGAUUCAAGCAUCUAGAUGAUGGAAUAUACGAAGCUGUUGCAGGAAGUGACUUUGUCAUUACUAGAGUUGCAUUUCGAGACAACUCUUCAAAGUACUACAUAAAUGACCAUGGAAGUAAUUCUACAGAGGUCACUAAGAAAUUGAAAGGAAAAGGAGUGGACUUGAACAACAAUCAGUUUUUGAUUCUUCAGGUGGGUGAUGGCUGAAAAAGGCCUAUUUACUUGUGAAAAAAAUAUCAUACCGUCAAAAUAUAUCUUCUCUUUCAUUUCUUUAUCAUUGAAAUUUCAGGGUGAAAUCGAGCAAAUUUCUCUAAUGAAGCCAAAGAUUUGUAUUUUCAGCAUUAUUGUAAUUGUAAUUGUAAUUGAUUGAAUGAAGGAUUGUAAUUGAUUGUAAUUGUAAUUGAUUGAAUGAAGGAUUGUAAUUGAAUGAAUAAAUGAUUGUAAUUGAUUGUAGUGGAAUGAAUGAAUGAUUAUGCAGGUGGUAAUUGAA